rnacentral:lncRNA from 1 species
CUAACAUAUCUCUUUUUGAUAAUUUUUUUAUCCUGGAAUCCUUUUAGAUACAAUAAUGCAAAAAAAAACGUUCUCAUGAACAGUUAAUUCUCAUGAAAAUUUAAAUGCUACGACUUUUGGUAUUUAACAACCUGUAUGAAUUUUAGGAUAAUUUCUCUAAAUUUAUAUGGCAAUUUUACCCCUUCUGGAACCACUGUUGAUAAAUUUCUUACCAACAUGUGUUAUCAAUAAUCUCAGUAGAUGGUUGCGAAAUAGUUAACAUUAAAAUUAGUGCUUGCUCAAUCUUCCCAAGUUGGCACUAAGAAGUAAUAGCAAAGAUGUGUUUGUUGGUAGAAAAAUGUGUUGAAUCUUCAUCUCAAUUUGUUGGUCUAAUACAUAUGUGUUGAAAGGUUGCUUUUUUAAUUAAUUUAUGUGUACCCAAGAUCUUCUUUUAUUCAUAAAUUCUACAUAUUCUAUUUUUCAAAAUAUCGUACAUGUAAGUCAAACAAUUAAAAGUGACCUCUUCUUCAAAUUUGUGUGUAUGAAGAAAUUUGUAAAUUGUUAUAGCUCACAAGUUAAACAUGUUAAAACAAUUAUCACAUUGUGAAUGUGUACCUUAUUAUUUGUAUAUCAAACUGUUUAAAGCAGGAUAAAUAGACCAACACAACUGUAUUUUUUUAUGGGAGCAAUUG